rnacentral:rRNA from 1 species
UACGAAGGGGGCUAGCGUUGCUCGGAAUUACUGGGCGUAAAGGGCUCGUAGGCGGCCAACUAAGUCAUACGUGAAAUCCCUCAGCUUAACUGGGGAACUGCGUGUGAUACUGGAUGGCUUGGAUUUGGGAGAGGGAUGCGGAAUUCCAGGUGUAGCGGUGAAAUGCGUAGAGAUGCGGAGGAACACCGAUGGCGAAGGCAGCCCCCUGGGCCAACACUGACGCUCAGGCACGAAAGCGUGGGGAGCAAACAGG